UGGGAACGCGAAGAACCUUACCUAGACUUGACAUCUCCUGAAUUAACCCUUAAUCGGGGAAGCCCUUCGGAGCAGGAAGACAGGUGGUGCAUGGUUGUCGUCAGCUCGUGUCGUGAGAUGUUGGGUUAAGUCCCGCAACGAGCGUAACCCUUAUUGUUAGUUGCUACCAUUUAGUUGAGCACUCUAGCGAGACUGCCCGGGUUAACCGGGAGGAAGGUGGGGAUGACGUCAAAUCAUCAUGCCCCCGUUAUGUCUAGGGCUACACACGUGCUACAAUGGCUGGUACAGAGAGAUGCUAAACCGUGAGGUGGAGCCAAACUUUAAAACCCAGUCUCAGUUCGGAUUGUAGGCUGAAACUCGCCUACAUGAAGCUGGAGUUGCUAGUAAUCGCGAAUCAGAAUGUCGCGGUGAAUACGUUCCCGGG
rnacentral:rRNA from 1 species